GAUGAACGCUAGCGGCAGGCUUAAUACAUGCAAGUCGAGGGGCAGCAUGACUGUAGCAAUACAGUUGAUGGCGACCGGCAAACGGGUGCGGAACACGUACAGAACCUUCCUUCGAGCGGGGAAUAGCCCAGAGAAAUUUGGAUUAAUACCCCAUAGUACAACGGAGUGGCAUCACUUUGUUGUUAAAGAUUUAUCACUUGAAGAUGGCUGUGCGGCUGAUUAGGUAGUUGGCGGGGUAACGGCCCACCAAGCCUGCGAUCAGUAACUGGUGUGAGAGCACGACCAGUAACACGGGCACUGAGACACGGGCCCGACUCCGACGGGAGGCAGCAGUAAGGAAUAUUGGUCAAUGGACGAAAGUCUGAACCAGCCAUGCCGCGUGGAGGAUGAAGGUCCUCUGGAUUGUGAACUUCUUUUAUAUGGGACGAAAAAAGGGUUUUCUAACUCGUCUGACGGUACCAUAUGAAUAAGCACCGGCUAACUCCGUGCCAGCAGCCGCGGUAAAAC
rnacentral:rRNA from 1 species